rnacentral:lncRNA from 1 species
AGAAUUAAGUCGGAGGGAUCCGCCGCGCAGCUCAAUCCCUAGGAAGCAUGAAAGAAUGUAUUGUAAAGAGUAAAAUCACGCGCAAUCCAUCCCAAUAUAACCGCAGUUGUUCGUGGGCCUUCUUGCAGAGAAAGGCUGCCCAACCUUGACGGGGCCAUGGGCGCUGCGGGAGGGCAAAAGACCACAGAGAUCUGCGAAGCCAAAGUAAACAACGGGGUUGGGGCGGCGAGAAUGAUCAAUAGCGAUGCUCCGAAAGGACUCCGCGAUAGGAAUCGAGCGGGAAGGAUUCCCUCCAUCCUAACAGUCCAUGGGUUAAGAGGCCGAAGCUUCCCUAAAUACCACACUCCCGCGAGAGAAGGGACUGAGAACAACUUCUCAAACUAUUCUCUCUCGAAAUCGCUCCCUUCCUCGAAAAUUCCAUCUCUGAGACUCGGAUGAGGUCCCCACCCCCUCCACCCUUGUCCCGUGACCGUCGCCCGCUCAGCCUCCCAGCCGAGUCCGCGGGGCCUGGGGCGCCCACCCCGCCCACCCAAGGGACCGCGCAGGGGUGAACUCCCCCGCGCCCCACCUGCGCCUUCCAGACCUCGGGCGCCCCGGCGUUGCCUCGAGAGCUCCCUGCGCGGCCGCCGCGGCACGGACCAGCUCCCACUCCCUUACACUGGGCGCCGCUGCGCUCGCCGGGGGCCGGUCCCGAGGUUCCCAAGGCCUCGCGCGCGCGCUUGCCGUGGCAACCAAGACGUUCCACGACGCGCGCUCUCGAACGCUUCGCGUCACGCGGCCGCGCGGCCCCGCCCGUCGGCCUCGCUCCCGCCACAGAGCCCGCAGCACGCCGCCGCCGCAGCCUAGGUCACGUGAGUACCCACGCGCGCGUCUUGCCAGCGGAUUCAUCACCGGCCUGCUCAGACUAGGUUCUGCCCACUCUGACCUUCUAAAUGGUACGUGGGAGGACGUCCGUCCCCUUCGGACCCAAGAGUCACCGUAACACUCUAGAAGGGGAGAAAAGGAGCGAGGGCGGCAGGCGACAGAGAACCUCGCGAGUCAGCGGCCCCGCGCAGACCCCCCCAGGCACGGUCCCCUGCGGCCACGUCGGCUGCUCGGCGCCUGCGCAAUCUCUUUCUCUCCAGCGAAACCGAGGCCUCCGGAGAGCCUAGUAGAGAGUGUGGGCAGUGAGCGCUUGUAGCCGCUAGAGGGAGCGCUGGGCACAGUGCACGAGAGACAAUAAAGGCUGAUUAUCCCCUCAAUGUCUCUGCAGCCUGAGCUUUGUGACUUCUGUAUCCAGAGCACAGUUAAUUUCCAAAAGCCCGCCUGCACCACGUGUUUUAAGUCUUGGUGUGUGUGUAAAGUCUAUAUCACUAUCAUAAAACUGUUAGUUCCUGAUUCCGGGAUACAAAGAGUAAAAUCAAGAUGAACAUACUUUACCCUUCUUGACAAGUGUUUUUAAAUUAGUAAAAUAUUGUAGAUGACAGACUCUUCAAUAGGGCUGCCUUAGGGAAAAAAAAACAGAAAAAAGAAAAAGCAGUAUGUACUUGCCCGGAGCAUUUAGAACCAGUUUUGUUGUUGUUGUGUUUUUGUUUUGUUUUGAGACAGAGUCUUACUAUGUUGCCCAGGCUGGAGUGCAGUGGCAUGAUCUCGGCUCACUGCAACCUCUGCUUCCCAGGUUCAAGCGACUCUCAUGCCUCAGCCUCCAGAGAAGCUGGAAUUACAGCUGUGCACCACCACUCCCGUCUAAUUUUUGUAUUUUUAGUAGAGACGGGGUUUCACCAUAUUGGCCAAGCUGGUCUUGAAAGCUUGACCUCAAGUUAGCCAGGCUGGUCUCGAAUUCCUGACCUCAAGCGAUCCACCUGCCUCAGUUUCCCAAAGUGCUGGGAUUACAGGCGUGAGUCACCGCGCCUGGCCUUAGGACCAGUUAAGUGACUCCCUCAAAUCUCAGAAAGGUAGCAGUCAGUCAUCCCAAAAAGCAAAACCUAUUAGGAAUAUAUUAAUACAGUGGUUUCAAAAUGAUUUUGCUCUUAUACCCCCAAAGGAGUCCCCAAAGACUAUGACUGUAUUCUCACUUCCACGUUUUUGGAUUGACCAUCACAAUUUCUCAUCUGACUUAAAUAGUUACAAAAGAAGCAACUUCUGUUUUAUUAUAAAUUAACAUUUUAAAAUAAAAGUUAUAUAACUUUUAAAUGUAGCCAGUGGAAUCUAAAUACCAAUUUAAUAUCUAAAAUCAUCAAUUUUUAAAACUACAUGAACAAGCUUUUAACAGAAGGAAAUUUUACAUCAUUUCUUUUCUUCUUGAACUCAUAUUUCCGUUCCAUAUUGUGAAAUUGUAUGUCAAUAUUUCUUUAGUCUUGCAAAUAUUGGCCAGGCUUGGUGGCUUAUGCCUGUAGUCCCAGCUACUCCAGAGGCCGAGGCAAGAGAAUCGCUUGAGCCCAGGAGUUCGAGACCAGCCUGGGCAACAUGACGAAACCCGUCCCUACAAAAAAACACAAAAAUUAGCUGGGCAUGGUGGUACACAUCUGUAGUCCCAGUUACUCCAGAGGCUGAGGCAGGAAGAUCACCUGAGCUGGGGAGGCAGAGGCAGCAGUGACUGAGAUUGUGCCACUGCACCCCAGCCUGGGCAAUAGAGCCAGACCCUGUACCCCCUGGCCCCCACCAAAAAAAGAAAGGAAAUCUUUUAUUGGUCAUCUACUCUACUUCUUUACAUUUAAAAAGUACAUACAUUUAAAUAGAAUUUUUUAAAUUUCCAACAGCCAUAAAGAUGAAUGUGUUUAAAACAUGUAGAAUUUCUAUACACAAAAUUGUUAUAUAUAGAAAACCCUAAAGAAUUUACUACAACACUGUUAGAACUAAUAAAUGAGUACAUCAAGGAUUCAGGACAACAGGUCAACAUACAGAAAUCAAUAGUAUUUCUAUACACUAGCAAUGAACAUUUCAAAAAUGAAAUUAAUUCCAUUCAUAAUAUUAUCAAGAAGAAUAAAAUACUUAGAAAUAAAUGUAAUAAGUGCAAGACUUGUAUGCUGAAGACCAUACAACAUUGCUGAAAGAACUUAAAGACCUAAAUAAAUGGAAAGACAUCCCAUGUUAAAGGGUUGAAAGACUUCAUAUUGGGAAGAUGGCAGUACUUCUCAAAUGGACCUCCAGACGCAACACAAUCCGUGUCAAGAUCCCAAAUGACUUUUUUGCAGAAUUUUGCAAGCUGAUCCUAAAAUUCAUACAAUCCAGGGAAAUAUAAGGACCCAGAAUAGCCACAUGAGCACACACACACAGAUCUUGAAAAAGAAGAAUGAAGUUGGAGGACUGACACAUUCCAAUUUCAAAACUUAACUACAAAGCUGCAGGCCAGGCAUGGUGGCUCACACCUGUAAUCCCAGCACUUUGGGAGGCCGAGGCAGGCGGAUCACCUGAGGUCGGGAGUUCGAGACCAGCCCGACCAACAUGAAGAAACCCGGUCUCUACUAAAAAUACAAAAUUACCUGGGCGUGGUGGCGCAUGCCUGUAAUCCUAGCUACCCAAGAGGCUGAGGCAGGAGACUCACUUGAACCCGGGAGGUGGAGGUCACCGUGAGCCGAGAUUGUGCCAUUGACUCCAGACUGGGCAACAAGAGCAAAACUCUGUCUCAAACAAACAAGCAAAAAACUGCAAUUACUAGGAAAGCCAAGUCUCUCUUCCUGGAUUUCUUCUCCUAUAAACCGCCUAUUGAUACCUACCCACUUCUCUAUGGAGCACAGAUGAAGGAUAUUGGUCAUCUCCAGCAUCUAGCACAACGUCUGCAAUGGAACAGGCGAGCUGUGAAUAUUUGUGGAAUGCAUGGGUGGACUAAAGACCUAUCACCUCACUCUAGAAUGCCCAGCAUGUUGGAGCAUGUUAAGCACUAUAUGAGCUGCUGAGGAUACAGGAAUAAACAACAACACAGGUGUGUCCUCUGCCCAAACCAGGCAUAAAUGAGCUUCCAAAUGAACACAAACAAAUCUGGAAGGCUUUUGAGGAAGAAGGACCAUUAAAAAAGCUGCUGACGACUGCCUGGAAUCUGGUUUGGAGCAUCUCCAAAGCCAACGUACUUUCCCCCAAGAAAAUACAGGAAGAUCUCUCUGCCCAGGCUUGGAAAUACAUAAGGAUCAGGUUUGCCAUCCUCUACUUUAGGGUGACUUUAACAUAAUUUAAUGCCCACUGACUGCUUUUCUCCUACAGGUAAAGUAACAAACAAAGGAGUCAACUCUCAGGAGCUCUCUCUUUCAUCUGCUUUAUGUUGCCAUUUUCCCUCAUUGCCCUCUCACAUUCACUCAGUAAUUCACCAAAUAUUUAUAGAGACUUCAUGGUGUGCAAGGCAGUGAACUCCACACUGUAGGAAGAGUAAAGCCAUGGAGAUCGCAGGCCUGGCUCUUCAUACCUUUGGCUUUCUGUUGAAUUGAACUUUCUGUUAAGUUUAAAAUACACAAUAGAACUUUGACGAUGUUGUGGCCUGGUCAGGGAUGGGACAGAUAACCAGCCCUUAAAAAUAAAGCUCCUCCGGCCCCGCCCAAUACCUUCUGAAAGAAGGAGGGUUAUUAUAGAGCAUAAAUAAAACAGUAGUGAUUAAUAAUGAUAAUAAAGUUUAUCUCUUUACUCACUCAACAGCAAUCCUUUUGGGGCAAAUCACUUAUGAUUUCCUUCCAGGACUGAAGAAAACAUGCACAGACGGAAGGUGGGGGCUGGUACUGGUGCUGAGCCUGGCAUGGGGAGAGAGGAAACAAGAGUGAAAAGACUCUUUCAUUCUCCUGGCAAAGGCAGCCUUGCAGCUGGGGCCAGGGUCUGUGGUGCUGAUCCAUCUGCUGGGCCGUCACCUCCCGAGAGAGCGUGUGUUCCUCCAACCACGCGUGUCUUAGCACCAGUCUCUGGCAGGAGCCAGGAGAUGGGGAAGACAAUUUAAAUGAUUCACAUAACUUCAAAAAAUGUGGAUAAGCACUUUAUUUUUCUCACAAACCAAGAAUAUCUACUCAAUUUAAACUUUUACCUGCGAUCUCUCUUCCUCAGACCCAGGGUCACGAACUUGCCGUCUAACCUGGCAGGUCAGUAAAACCUUACCCCAUCAGGUCUUCAUCUGUAAGAUGAGAAGGUGGCAGCAGAGGUUCCGAAGGCUCCUUCCAGAUGAAAACAAAUACGAUUUUUACAUCAGUAGAAAUUCAAGGGGCUCACACUUGACUAUAUGAAAGAGAAAAUAAAAAAUUAUUUGUUUAUUUUUCUGUUGGCCUUUUCCUAUCAUUUUAGCUUACUUAUUUCUUCUUUUUGACCCCAUUUUUGUGUUUCUUAUUUCUUCUAUUAACACCACUGGAUUAAAGCAAGCAAAAAUUUAAAGAUUAAUAUCCUUUUUAAAAAUUUCAGACAUAUAACACACACACACACACACACACAUACACACACACCCUGCAUGUAGAUAAAGCAGCUAGAAAUGAAAGCCUAACUGAAACAUAAUUCCAGUGGUUCUCAAACUUUAGCAGGCAUUAGAAUCACCUGAAAGAUUUGUUAAAAUGCAUGUUGCUGGACAUCAACCCAGAAUUUUUAAUUUGCUAGGUAAGGUGGAGUCCCAAAAUUAACAUUUCUUACAGGUUCCAAGUAAUACGGAUGUUGUUGGUCUGGGACCACACUUUGAAAACCACUGCUUUAUAGCACAGCUUCCAAGGAGACUCCAGUGUGUGUUCUGUGUGUACCUUCUCUAUGUAUGUAUGUUCUGUAUAUAUAUAUGUACAGUACACAUAUCUCCAAUGUAUGUUCUCGUCUAAUCCCUUAAAGUCAUGAUGUGCCUCAGGCCAUCAUUUCUUCCCUUUACUGUUUGUCAGCUGUCACCAAGUUGAGGUGGCAGUGGUGGUUUUCUUUAUGUCAAAGCACUUUCCAUCUAUUCCUAAUUGAUUGCCUACUGAUUUCUUGGUUUCCUUGACUAUUUCGUUGAAAGGAUCUCAAGCCGCUGUAAAACUUGCAUUUUAACAUCUAGCGUGACAUUCUCCCUCUGUUUAGUGUCAUUUUUGUGGCAGAUUAAGAUCUCCCACCAGCACACUUUCCCAUUUAAUCCUCCAGCCAUUGUAGUUCAAAACUCUUUGCCAGAAAUCCUGCAUGCCCAGAACACACACACAUACACACACACACACACACACACACACACACACAAACACACACACACACACACACACAAUGAAAGGCCACUCAAGUCAGGGUAACAAGGUGGAGCCUUUGCAGUGCAUUUAGCUAAUGCCAAUAGAGAUGCAGUAUAAAUAGUUGUACCAAGUUUCCAUCUUUCCCUUAAGCAGGAUGUAAGCAUGAGAUUGUAGAAGAAAGGAUUCUGUAAACAGAUUUAUUUCGUGAUAUUUGGGUAGACAGUUCUUGUUAACAUAGAACAACUUUAUACUAACUAUAGAAAAUGCUUUUCAAUAAAUCCUCCUUGACAAUCAGUGUAUUCUCAGGUUCUUGUCUUCUGGGAGAGAUCUACAGAAUAAAUUAUUCUGGGAAGUGUAUGGUAUGGCACAUAAAGAGGAAGGAGUGGUUAUUUGUAUGAAAUAAAAAUGGUAACUGAUUUUUAAAAGAUACUUACAUGACUUAAUCUCUGUUAGAGUACCAACAUUAAAACUAACUAACAAUUAUGAGGGCUUAUUAGCAGUCUUCUCCAAGGUGAGGAAACAAGAUCUGUACUUCAACACUGCCUUCUGCUACCUGCCUGCUCCUUCCUACCUCCCUUUCUGCCCACACAGAGGGUCUUGUCAUUUGGCAGGAAGAAAAACGAAUCAGGAGCCCUGAAGCAGAGGGCUGCUGCUGUUGCUGGUGAUUGAUGGGCCUGGGUAAUUUCACCUCUGGUGUCAAAAAGAUUUAAGUUUCACUUGCAAACUACUUGCCGAAUCCAGCCACCUAUCUCAGCCCUACCAAGUUUAGCCUACUCUUCGCCCUCACAGGCAUUAGGCAUUUCUUUCCCAUUCACAGUUAUCUAUGACUUAUUUUUUAGUUGCACAUAUGUUUGUAGCAUGUGGUAUGUUUCUGCAUGUAUGUGUAUGUGUGUGUAUCUGGAGUGAAGAUGACUGAGCUUCAGGUCUCACUAGCCUAGAUAGAACUUCAAGCCUCCCUUUAAAAUGGCCUAUGUCAAAUAAUUUUUUUAAAAAGCUACUUACUUAAUGACAUCUUUAACACUUCAGAUUUCUAUACAUAUCUAUAAUAUCUUACUGAUAUGGUUUGGCUGUGUCCCCACCCAAAUCUCGUCUUAAAUUCCCACAUGUUGUGGGAGGCACCUGAUGCAAGGUAAUUGAAUCAUGGGGGCAGGUCUUUCCCAUGCUGUUCUCAUGAUAGUGAAUAAGUCUCACGAGAUCUGAUGGUUUCAUAAGGGGGAGUUUCCCUGCACAAACUCUCUCUUUUUGCCUGCUGCCAUCCAUGUAAGAUGUGACUUGCUCCUCCUUGCCUUCCACCAUGAUUGUGAGGCCUCCCCAACCACAUGGAACUGUAAGUACAUUAAACCCUUUUUCCUGUAUAAAUUACCCAGUCUUGGGUAUGUCUUUAUCAGCAGCGUGAAAAUAAACUAAUACACUUACUAAAGAGAUUCUACUGUCCCACAAAACUUAUUUGACACAUUGCCUUGUGUAGAAGCUGUGUUGUGAAUUAUGACUGUGGGCAGGAGUUAUGGUGUUACUCUGCGACUUCUAUUAGUAUAGAUUGGUGGAGACCAGAAUAAGAAUUUUUGUAGAUUUCUUAUGUUUUAUUAUUUACUUAUUUAUUUGUUUCUUUAUUUUUUAAGACAGGAUCUUACUCUGUCACCCAGGCUGAAAUGUAGUGGGAACUCACCACAGCAUUGACCUCCUGAGCUCAGGUACUGGGCUCACCACAGCAGUGACCUCCUGAGCUCCCAUCUCAGCCUCCUGAGUAGCUAGAACUACAGUGCUCACCACCACACCCAGCUAAUUUUUGUAUUUUUUGUAGAGAUGGGAUUUUGCCAUGUUGCCUUGGCUCAAGUGAUCCACCCACCUCAGCCUCCCAAAGUGCUAGGAUUACAGGUGUGAGCCACCGUGCCUGGCCAUGUUUAAUUUUUUAAUUAGAUGGAGGCAUGGGAGUGGCCAUUCCUUUUGUAUGUGUGAAUAUCUGAUUUAUUUCUAUUGCCAUUUAUAAUGCAAAGAUAGAUACUUCCUAAUUAUUUACUCUGGCCAGGGAUAUUAUUUAUUUAUGGAGCUGAUGACAGUAUGUGGCUUUUGUGAACUGAUCUGUUUCUUGGUUUUGUUUUUAUUCUAAAUUUAGCUUUUCACAUAGUUGUAACCUUGAGCUAAUACAGAGAUUUGAUUGUUUGAUCUUUUUUAGCUUUUUGAUGGGUAGUCAAGAAGAUAACAGCUUUUCUUUUUUAUGAAGUCUCGCUCUGUCACUAGGCUGGAGUGCAGCGGUGCGAUCAUGGCUCACUGCAACCUCUGCCUCCCGGGUUCAAGUGAUUCUCCUGCCUCAGCCUCCCAAGUAGCUGGG